rnacentral:rRNA from 1 species
CCUACGGGAGGCAGCAGUGGGGGAUAUUGCACAAUGGGGGAAACCCUGAUGCAGCGACGCCGCGUGUGGGAAGACGGUCCUCUGGAUUGUAAACCACUGUCCCCAGGGACGAAGAUGACGGUACCUGGGGAGGCAGCUCCGGCUAACUACGUGCCAGCAGCCGCGGUAAUACGUAGGGAGCAAGCGUUGUCCGGAAUUACUGGGUGAAAAGGGAGCGUAGGCGGGAUGGCAAGUUGGGUGUUAAAUCUACCGGCUAAACUGGUAGUCGCACUUAAAACUGCUAUUCUUGAGUGAAGUAGAGGCAGGCGGAAUUCCUAGUGUAGCGGUGAAAUGCGUAGAUAGUAGGAGGAACACCAGUGGCGAAGGCGGCCUGCUGGGCUGUGACUGACGCUGAGGCUCGAAAGUGUGGGGAGCAAACAGGAUUAGAUACCCCUGUAGUC